GAAGCUUUCCUAGGAACACGGGACUUGGCCGGAGCCGGGGAGCGGGAGCGGGCCUCGACCGGUGGUGUUUACAGCGCGCGUCUAGCGCCGACGGCGGUUUCCUGGGUCGGAGCCAAGUCGGGUCCCCCAGGGAGCGUCGCUAUGAAAUGAUUCUGCCGUCCCAAGGCCGGUGGCCCUCGGGAUUCCGCAAGGUGUCAGUUCCAGGAAACCCCCACCGGAAACUCGUCAUCGGAACGGUCCGCGCCGAGCGCGCCACGGAAAGGACUCGAGGUUUUUCUCGCUCCAGAACGGUGCACGGUUUCCAGAUGGCCACGCCGGGCCUGAAAAACAAAGCCAGUCAGAGA